AACAGGGUCAGUUUUCUAUUAAAACUUAAUAUUUCAUAAGGGAGACAACUCCGUCAACCUUGUCCACCUUGUAUCUCUACCCUAUCAAGAGUUAUCUGUUUUACCGCGGUUUGGUGGUUUUCAAUUGACCUGUGACCUUUUUGAAAAUACUGGUCAGUCAGCCAUUUUAGUCUUUGUUGGAAAGAUGUGUUUUUACCAGUGGUCAGAAAAUGUAUUUCCAAUGUAUCAAGUAACAGUCACUGGUGAGAAUGAAGCCUGUUUGAGAAUUGUACAGUUACAGAGCAUUCAUCCCUUAGAUGAAUGUGUUGCUGUACUACUUAAGUAAACGGUUGAAUAAAUUGGAUAUAGAAGAGUUUGACCUAGUCGUUACAUAUUAUCAUAUUAGAUCUAUUAGUAGAUCUACCAUCCAGUUACACAAGUGGACUCUUAAUCGAACUCAUAGACCCUUAGGGGUUCGGACUAUUAUUAUUAUUAAUAUAGCACCGAUACCACCCCCAUAACA
rnacentral:lncRNA from 1 species